rnacentral:lncRNA from 1 species
ACAAACCAUACUGUUCUACCUGAGGCCUUGGAGAAAUGGAGUCUGGAACUUAUGGAGAAGCUGCUUCCUCGACAUGUUCAGAUCAUACAGAUGAUAGAUGAGGAGGUAAUGCUGGAUUAUGUACAAAAGUUAAACAGUUCAUACCUUUGGAGUUUAUAAAAUUUACUGAUUCCUUGCAUUUGCAUAUUCUGCAGCUCAUUCAGACCAUAAUUUCGGAAUAUGGCACAGCAGAUUAUGAUUUAUUAGAGAAGAAACUUAAGGAGAUGAGAAUAUUAGAAAAUGUUGACUUGCCUGCCAAAUUUUCAGAUUUAAUUGUUAAACCCGAAAAGAGUUCCACUGCUGUCCCGAGUGAAGAAAUUGAAAAGUCAGAAGAGGAAGAUGAAUCUGCUGAUGCCGAAAAGAGUUCCACUGCUGUCCAGAGUGAAGAAAUUGAAGAGUCAGAAGAGGAAGAUGAAUCUGCUGAUGCCGAAAAGAGUUCCACUGCUGUCCUGAGUGAAGAAAUUGAAGAGUCAGAAGAGGAAGGUGAAUCUGCUGAUGAAGAAAAAGUACCUGUGAAGAAACGCGAAGAGGAAAAAAAGAAAAAGGUUGUGGUGGAACCACCACCGAAGUUAGUACGUAU